AACCAUUCUCAUCAUUUUACUUCAUUUAAAACAAAGAAUAGUCAAGAAUCAUCGAUCGUAGCCAUGGAGAGGGCUUCUGCAAAUCCAGAGAAUCUCAACUCUUUGAGAGAGAAUGCAGUCGAAAUUAUUUGUGGGGCAUGUCAGGCAAUGAAAGGGACAAGAAACAGAUGCUUGGGCUGUGAUUUUACUCCCUACUUUCCACCGGAGAAGAAAUCUGAGUUUGAGGAACUCAACCGUUCUUUUGAUGUUCGUGAAUUGAGACAAGUUUAUACUGAAUUCAAAGAAAAAGCAGAAGCUGAAAGAGAAUAUGCGAGACUUCUACGAA
rnacentral:misc_RNA from 1 species